GACGAACGCUGGCGGCGUGCUUAACACAUGCAAGUCGAACGGAAAGGCCCUGCUUUUGUGGGGUGCUCGAGUGGCGAACGGGUGAGUAACACGUGAGUAACCUGCCCUUGACUUUGGGAUAACUUCAGGAAACUGGGGCUAAUACCGGAUAGGAGCUCCUGCUGCAUGGUGGGGGUUGGAAAGUUUCGGCGGUUGGGGAUGGACUCGCGGCUUAUCAGCUUGUUGGUGGGGUAGUGGCUUACCAAGGCUUUGACGGGUAGCCGGCCUGAGAGGGUGACCGGCCACAUUGGGACUGAGAUACGGCCCAGACUCCUACGGGAGGCAGCAGGGGAGAAUAUUGCACAAUGGGCGGGAGCCUGAUGCAGCAACGCCGCGUGCGGGAUGACGGCCUUCGGGUUGUAAACCGCUUUCGCCUGUGACGAAGCGUGAGUGACGGUAAUGGGUAAAGAAGCACCGGCUAACUACGUG
rnacentral:rRNA from 1 species